CGACCCGGUGGCUCUGAUGACGAGUUCCUCACAGUAACUUAAAGUAAAAGUAGCUCACACUUUAAAAGAUACUCUGUUACCAGCAAAAGUCCUGCAUUCAAAGUUGUUCACAAGUAAAAGUACAAAAACACAAGUGACAAAAAAGUACUGCAAGUACCAAAAGUAUACUUUAUACUUUAAUAUACUUUAUUAUCUAAUCAGUGACUAUGUUUAGAUGCACAAAUAUUCUUUUUACCUUAUUCUAAAAAAAAAAACUAAAUUCCUACUAAGCUGUUUACAAUGAAAAUGGAUAUUCCACUAAUAUUCACGUUUACAUGCAGCCGGGAACCGGAAAUGCAAUACUGCUCACUCCUUUUCCGGGUUUUAGGACUCAUUCCUGCAGCACUCUCCUGGUCUUAAAAACAAGCCUAAAACAAACAGGGUCUGGAUCACCAGCUGCCAUUUUGCUCUUCUUCUCUGUCACUUUGUGUUUGUGUUACAACGUCAGCAUUUAAGUGUCUCUGUUCUUUGUUUGUGUGUCUCAGUCCUGGGUUUCUGCGUGGCAUCCCUCCGGCGAGGCCUCAUCAGGGCGUCUGGCGCGCGCCCGGCGGCAGCUGCACUUCCGGAACGAGUGGGCGGCGUGGAGCGGCUGGUCCGUCUGCUCGCGCAGCUGUGGGAGCGGCGCCUCGGUGAGGACGCGCACCUGCAUCACCAGGAACCCAGUGGGAGGACCGUGUACAGGAGAUCCCAGACAAUACAAGAUCUGCAACACCAAGGAGUGCCCCCCCAGCUCGGAGGAUUUCAGAGAGAUGCAGUGUGCUGCCUUCAAUGACAGACCGUUGGUGGCUGGAAACUCCUUCAGAUGGACCACUUUUCAUGGAGGUCAGUGAAGACAACUCAGCUGAUGUUUGAACAAAAACACAAUAAUGUAUUUCCUAAUCAUUUAAAUUCUGUGUUUUUAUGUUUUUUAUCGUGAGUGUGUCCCAGCCAUGUGUAACUCGAGUUGCUGUGUCGUUGGCCGUCAUGCGAUAAACUUUUCAUGGUUCCCCUGUAAAGGCCUGCUGGCUGUUGAAUCCACACGGGGCUAUGAGUUUUCUACGUGACAUCUGUCUCCUCUCUUUUACCUCGCCUAUUUUUCCUCCACAAUGAACUAAUGAGUCACUGAGCGAAGAUCUCUCCCUGCCAGGCUCUAACCCCUGUGAACUGAGCUGCCUGGCGCUGGGUCACAACUUCUACUACAACUUUGGCCGUGUGCUCGAUGGCACGGCGUGCGAUAAGGAGCCCGGAGCGGUGUGUGUCAAUGGACGCUGCCUGGUGAGUGGAAACAAUACUGAACGUGUGUGUGUGUGUGUGUGUUGGUCUUUUCUUUUCAUAUUGUGUUCGUGCUUUUCAUGUCUUUGGUUUUCCCAUUUGAUAGUUUUAUAUUAAGGAUAAUCUUUUUCUGCUAGUUUUGUAUGAGGUUCCAAAAACGCUGCACCAUAGUUACCAAAUUCAUCUAAAAUUGUCCCAGCCGUUGCCAUGGUGAGAGCCGUGAGGAGGCAACAGAAAUGCUCAGAAUUCCGUGUAGAGCGCCUUUGACUCCUUUAUGUUUUCAGUGUCUCUAGUGUCCACCAGGGGGCGACUCCUCUGGUUGUAU